GCAACAAUCUCAGCCUGGCGAUCGCGGCCAUUGGCCCUGUUUGGGGCCAUUCUCCCAGAAGCUGUCCAAGCUCCAAAACACAGCUCCUCUCCUCUAUGUGCUGUGUGCAUAAUCCUGCAGUUAGGGCUUUACCCCUCCCAUUUCAAGGAAGUACUGGGGACCAACUUCAUUAGCUAAUAUAUUGCUGCUAACAUAUAGCUCCUGUGCACAGCAAGCGACUUUGAAUUACCCUGACUGAAAGACCCACCCCAAUAACCUCAUAGAAACAAAAUACAAGAAUCAGGCAAAAUACAUUCUUCUUGGAUCAUGACCUGAAGGUUGAGACUUGAGACUCCUGGCUGACUUCCAGCAGGAGAGUCAAUUUUUAACUCCACACCACAGUAGGGAGCAGCUAAAAAGGAAAAAAAAUGGAAAAAGUUUACCUUUCAGAAAUAUGCCAAGUAACACACUGCAGCACGCUAAGACUACACGGACAGGAGGCUGAGUGAAGCUAAACUGCCCAGAAGCAACUGUCCAUUUUCAUUCUUGCACCACGGUGCGAUGAUUAACUUUGUGCAUGUAAAAAGAAGAACAUACAGACAUAAUUGCCUGAAACUUUGUGAAGAAGCUGAACUAAGGCUGAAGUUUAUAAUUAAAUUGUGCUGAUUUUUCUUCAUUAACAUUCUACUAAAGGAAAUUAGUUUUCUGUCUUCAUUACCACAAUGUAACACUGCACUCUUUUGAAAUGUAAUUAAAGCAAAGAGUUGUAUAUUGUGUAUUUGCUCAUUCGCUGAGUAACUUAAACAUUUUUAUUCUGCUAAUCUAACAAAGUAAAUAGUGUGUGUAUUCCUAACAGGAGCUAUAAACUAAUUUCGUGUGGAGACUGCAUAGAUUUUAUCUAUAUUUUUGUUUAACUUACCAGUGAGUACUUGGAGGGAACCUUGAUGCUGAAACACCACUUGCACUGCACUCUGAGUUGGCUGCGAGGUUUGAUGCAUAAAAGAUAUUCUUAAAAGGCCUGAUGAGCUGCCCUUACGCACAUUGGUAACUGUUUACCAACAUGUGUAGUCCUACUGAUGAAGUCAAUUGUAUUACUCAUGUGAACAAGAGUAAGGGUUGCAUAAAUAGGGCCUAAACUAGAAUUUGUAUGCCUAGUACCUUAAUGAGAAAU